CUUUAAAAAUCUGGAUCAAGCUGAAAAUUGAAACGACACACGUUAAGUGUGUUCGAGUCUCUCAAAUGCUUGCAGCACGAAGUGAAACAUCUUCGG
rnacentral:sRNA from 1 species